CUCGCAUUUCGUCUUCCCGCUCUCUAUGACGUUCGCCAAUAUGCAGAUUAUCAGGACCUCCUCUUGCCAGAUCAUCCUCCAGAAGUCCAGCACCGUGUUGGGCUUCGGCCCCUGUGUGGCGAUAAACUCAUCCGCUGCGGUACCCUUAUGUAGUUGGCGUUAAUGUAGUCGGAGUAGGGGUCGUCGGGGAGCUUCUUCAGGAUGACCCGCGUCUCGUCGUCUGCAAAUAUUGAAGAAAAAAAAAUUGUUAAGACUC